GACGAACGCUAGCGGCGUGCUUAACACAUGCAAGUCGAACGGAAAGGCCCUGCUUUUGUGGGGUGCUCGAGUGGCGAACGGGCGAGUAACACGUGAGUAACCUGCCCUUGACUUUGGGAUAACUUCAGGAAACUGGGGCUAAUACCGGAUAUGAGCUCCUGCUGCAUGGUGGGGGUUGGAAAGUUUCGGCGGUUGGGGAUGGACUCGCGGCUUAUCAGCUUGUUGGUGGGGUAGUGGCUUACCAAGGCUUUGACGGGUAGCCGGCCUGAGAGGGUGACCGGCCACAUUGGGACUGAGAUACGGCCCAGACUCCUACGGGAGGCAGCAGUGGGGAAUAUUGCACAAUGGGCGGAAGCCUGAUGCAGCAACGCCGCGUGCGGGAUGACGGCCUUCGGGUUGUAAACCGCUUUCGCCUGUGACGAAGCGUGAGUGACGGUAAUGGGUAAAGAAGCACCGGCUAACUACGUG
rnacentral:rRNA from 1 species